rnacentral:rRNA from 1 species
GACGAACGCUGGCGGCGUGCUUAACACAUGCAAGUCGAGCGGAAAGGCCCUGCUUUUGUGGGGUGCUCGAGUGGCGAACGGGUGAGUAACACGUGAGUAACCUGCCCUUGACUUUGGGAUAACUUCAGGAAACUGGGGCUAAUACCGGAUAGGAGCUCCUGCUGCAUGGUGGGGGUUGGAAAGUUUCGGCGGUUGGGGAUGGACUCGCGGCUUAUCAGCUUGUUGGUGGGGUAGUGGCUUACCAAGGCUUUGACGGGUAGCCGGCCUGAGAGGGUGACCGGCCACAUUGGGACUGAGAUACGGCCCAGACUCCUACGGGAGGCAGCAGUGGGGAAUACUGCACAAUGGGCGGAAGCCUGAUGCAGCAACGCCGCGUGCGGGAUGACGGCCUUCGGGUUGUAAACCGCUUUCGCCUGUGACGAAGCGUGAGUGACGGUAAUGGGUAAAGAAGCACCGGCUAACUACGUG